GAUGAACGCUGGCGGCGUGCCUAAUACAUGCAAGUCGAGCGAACGGACGAGAAGCUUGCUUUUCUGAUGUUAGCGGCGGACGGGUGAGUAACACGUGGAUAACCUACCUAUAAGACUGGGAUAACUUCGGGAAACCGGAGCUAAUACCGGAUAAUAUUUUGAACCGCAUGGUUCAAAAGUGAAAGACGGUCUUGCUGUCACUUAUAGAUGGAUCCGCGCUGCAUUAGCUAGUUGGUAAGGUAACGGCUUACCAAGGCAACGAUGCAUAGCCGACCUGAGAGGGUGAUCGGCCACACUGGAACUGAGACACGGUCCAGACUCCUACGGGAGGCAGCAGUAGGGAAUCUUCCGCAAUGGGCGAAAGCCUGACGGAGCAACGCCGCGUGAGUGAUGAAGGUCUUCGGAUCGUAAAACUCUGUUAUUAGGGAAGAACAUAUGUGUAAGUAACUGUGCACAUCUUGACGGUACCUAAUCAGAAAGCCACGGCUAACUACGUGCCAGCAGCCGCGGUAAUACGUAGGUGGCAAGCGUUAUCCGGAAUUAUUGGGCGUAAAGCGCGCGUAGGCGGUUUUUUAAGUCUGAUGUGAAAGCCCACGGCUCAACCGUGGAGGGUCAUUGGAAACUGGAAAACUUGAGUGCAGAAGAGGAAAGUGGAAUUCCAUGUGUAGCGGUGAAAUGCGCAGAGAUGUGGAGGAACACCAGUGGCGAAGGCGACUUUCUGGUCUGUAACUGACGCUGAUGUGCGAAAGCGUGGGGAUCAAACAGGAUUAGAUACCCUGGUAGUCCACGCCGUAAACGAUGAGUGCUAAGUGUUAGGGGGUUUCCGCCCCUUAGUGCUGCAGCUAACGCAUUAAGCACUCCGCCUGGGGAGUACGACCGCAAGGUUGAAACUCAAAGGAAUUGACGGGGGCCCGCACAAGCGGUGGAGCAUGUGGUUUAAUUCGAAGCAACGCGAAGAACCUUACCAAAUCUUGACAUCCUUUGACAACUCUAGAGAUAGAGCCUUCCCCUUCGGGGGACAAAGUGACAGGUGGUGCAUGGUUGUCGUCAGCUCGUGUCGUGAGAUGUUGGGUUAAGUCCCGCAACGAGCGCAACCCUUAAGCUUAGUUGCCAUCAUUAAGUUGGGCACUCUAAGUUGACUGCCGGUGACAAACCGGAGGAAGGUGGGGAUGACGUCAAAUCAUCAUGCCCCUUAUGAUUUGGGCUACACACGUGCUACAAUGGACAAUACAAAGGGCAGCGAAACCGCGAGGUCAAGCAAAUCCCAUAAAGUUGUUCUCAGUUCGGAUUGUAGUCUGCAACUCGACUACAUGAAGCUGGAAUCGCUAGUAAUCGUAGAUCAGCAUGUUACGGUGAAUACGUUCCCGGGUCU
rnacentral:rRNA from 1 species